rnacentral:rRNA from 14 species
AAAUUGAAGAGUUUGAUCAUGGCUCAGAUUGAACGCUGGCGGCAGGCCUAACACAUGCAAGUCGAACGGUAACAGGAAGCAGCUUGCUGCUUCGCUGACGAGUGGCGGACGGGUGAGUAAUGUCUGGGAAACUGCCUGAUGGAGGGGGAUAACUACUGGAAACGGUGGCUAAUACCGCAUAACGUCGCAAGACCAAAGAGGGGGACCUUCGGGCCUCUUGCCAUCAGAUGUGCCCAGAUGGGAUUAGCUAGUUGGUGAGGUAACGGCUCACCAAGGCGACGAUCCCUAGCUGGUCUGAGAGGAUGACCAGCCACACUGGAACUGAGACACGGUCCAGACUCCUACGGGAGGCAGCAGUGGGGAAUAUUGCACAAUGGGCGCAAGCCUGAUGCAGCCAUGCCGCGUGUAUGAAGAAGGCCUUCGGGUUGUAAAGUACUUUCAGCGGGGAGGAAGGUGUUGUGGUUAAUAACCACAGCAAUUGACGUUACCCGCAGAAGAAGCACCGGCUAACUCCGUGCCAGCAGCCGCGGUAAUACGGAGGGUGCAAGCGUUAAUCGGAAUUACUGGGCGUAAAGCGCACGCAGGCGGUCUGUCAAGUCGGAUGUGAAAUCCCCGGGCUCAACCUGGGAACUGCAUUCGAAACUGGCAGGCUUGAGUCUUGUAGAGGGGGGUAGAAUUCCAGGUGUAGCGGUGAAAUGCGUAGAGAUCUGGAGGAAUACCGGUGGCGAAGGCGGCCCCCUGGACAAAGACUGACGCUCAGGUGCGAAAGCGUGGGGAGCAAACAGGAUUAGAUACCCUGGUAGUCCACGCCGUAAACGAUGUCUACUUGGAGGUUGUGCCCUUGAGGCGUGGCUUCCGGAGCUAACGCGUUAAGUAGACCGCCUGGGGAGUACGGCCGCAAGGUUAAAACUCAAAUGAAUUGACGGGGGCCCGCACAAGCGGUGGAGCAUGUGGUUUAAUUCGAUGCAACGCGAAGAACCUUACCUGGUCUUGACAUCCACAGAACUUUCCAGAGAUGGAUUGGUGCCUUCGGGAACUGUGAGACAGGUGCUGCAUGGCUGUCGUCAGCUCGUGUUGUGAAAUGUUGGGUUAAGUCCCGCAACGAGCGCAACCCUUAUCCUUUGUUGCCAGCGAUUAGGUCGGGAACUCAAAGGAGACUGCCAGUGAUAAACUGGAGGAAGGUGGGGAUGACGUCAAGUCAUCAUGGCCCUUACGACCAGGGCUACACACGUGCUACAAUGGCGCAUACAAAGAGAAGCGACCUCGCGAGAGCAAGCGGACCUCAUAAAGUGCGUCGUAGUCCGGAUUGGAGUCUGCAACUCGACUCCAUGAAGUCGGAAUCGCUAGUAAUCGUGGAUCAGAAUGCCACGGUGAAUACGUUCCCGGGCCUUGUACACACCGCCCGUCACACCAUGGGAGUGGGUUGCAAAAGAAGUAGGUAGCUUAACCUUCGGGAGGGCGCUUACCACUUUGUGAUUCAUGACUGGGGUGAAGUCGUAACAAGGUAACCGUAGGGGAACCUGCGGUUGGAUCACCUCCUUA